AACGCACAUUGCGCCCGCCAGUAUCCUGGCGGGCAUGCCUGUCCGAGCGUCAUUUCAACCCUCGAGUCUUUCUGCUCGGUGUUGGGGUCCUACGUGCUACCUAACUGUAGGCCCUGAAAUGCAGUGGCGGGCUCACUGUGGUCCCGGGCGUAGUAGAUACGUCGCCUGGGGGCCGUGGCGAGCGCCUGCCGUUAAACGAAACAGAAAAUGCUCUGCUUUUCUUUUUAAAAUACAGGUUGACCUCGGAUCAGGUAGGAAUACCCGCUGAACUUAA
rnacentral:misc_RNA from 1 species